GCCCUCUGUAAAGCCACAGCAGGAGCAGUCUGACUGUCCACCUCCUCCUGAGCUGAGAGUGUCGACUUCUGGCCAAAAAGAAGAAAGAAAAGUAGGUCAGCCUUGUGAGCUGAACAUUGCUAAAGCAGGAAGUUGUGUAGACACGUGGAAAGGCAGACCCUGUGAUUUGGCCGUGCCUUCAGAAGUGGAUGUGGAGAAACUUGCUAAAGGGUAUCAGUCCGU
rnacentral:lncRNA from 1 species